rnacentral:rRNA from 1 species
AUACGGAGGGUGCAAGCGUUGUUCGGAAUUACUGGGCGUAAAGCGCGCGUAGGCGGAUUGAUCAGUCAGAGGUGAAAUCCCAGGGCUCAACCCUGGAACUGCCUUUGAUACUGUCAGUCUUGAGUUCGAGAGAGGUGAGUGGAAUUCCGAGUGUAGAGGUGAAAUUCGUAGAUAUUAGGAGGAACACCAGUGGCGAAGGCGGCUCACUGGCUCGAUACUGACGCUGAGGUGCGAAAGCGUGGGGAGCAAACAGGAUUAGAAACCCCAGUAGUCC